GAGAGAUGGCUCAGUGGUUAAGAGCACUGGCUGCUCUCCCAGAGGACCUGGGUUCGAUCCCCAGCACUCA
rnacentral:tRNA from 1 species